GAAACCUGACGCAGCARCGCCGCGUGAGUGAUGAAGCCUUCGGGUCGUAAAGCUCUGUCAGAGGGAAAGAAGUGUAGCAUGGUUAAUACCCAUACUACUUGACGGUACCCUCAAAGGAAGCACCGGCUAACUCCGUGCCAGCAGCCGCGGUAAUACGGAGGGUGCGAGCGUUGUUCGGAAUUAUUGGGCGUAAAGCGCGUGCAGGCGGUCUUUUAAGUCUGAUGUGAAAGCCCCGGGCUCAACCUGGGAAGUGCAUUGGAAACUGGGAGACUUGAAUACGGGAGGGGGCAGUGGAAUUCCUGGUGUAGGAGUGAAAUCCGUAGAUAUCAGGAGGAACACCGGUGGCGAAGGCGGCUGCCUGGACCGAUAUUGACGCUGAGACGCGAAAGCGUGGGGAGCAAACAGGAUUAGAUACCCUGGUAGUCCACGCUGUAAACGAUGAGUACUAGGUGUUGCGGGUAUUGACCCCUGCAGUGCCGCAGCUAACGCAUUAAGUACUCCGCCUGGGAAGUACGGUCGCAAGACUAAAACUCAAAUGA
rnacentral:rRNA from 1 species